rnacentral:rRNA from 1 species
CCCUUAGAUGUUCUGGGCCGCACACGCGCUACAAUGGCAAAGUCAACGAGCUUAUCCUAUGCUGACAAGCACAGGUAAUCUUUUCAGUCUUUGUCGUGAUGGGGAUAGACCCUUGUAAUUAUUGGUCCCCAACGAGGAAUUCCUAGUAAACGCAAGUCAUCAACUUGCAUUGAUUACGUCCCUGCCCUUUGUACACACCGCCCGUCGCACCUACCGAUUGAAUGGUCCGGUGAAGUCUUCGGACCGAUGCUGACUCGUUGGCAACGGAAAGUUGAGUAAACCUUACCAUUUAGAGGAAGGUGAAGUCGUAACA